UGGGGCGUGGCCAAGCUGGUAAGGCGCCUGACUCUGGAUCAGGUAAUCCUAGGUUCGAAUCCUAGCGCCCCAG
rnacentral:tRNA from 1 species